GACACACAGAAUGAGCGUCGCGAGAAUCAAGGGAGGGAGGCACGGUUCGGUCCUAUUGCCGUAGCGGGUUACGCCUGAUCACCAUCGCAGAAGCUCCAUCGUCGCUGUUGCACAUAAGAGGAGGAGAUGACAUCGUUGAUUUUGAUUCUGUCUAAGCCCGCAUCGCUGCUAGAAUUACGAAACGCAGAGGGAAAGGGCUAGCCAUGAGAACCACUAUCUCUGAACCCUUGUCACUCUGUAAAUACCUUGUAUCUACCUCUGAUGUUCUUGGCUAUGUUAUGUUUGUUGGAGCUUGUCUCAAUGGAGCCACUGGCGGGGUGUUGCUGCUGCCGGAACCACCGCGGGGUGUUGCUAGGAAUUGCUGCUGCCCUGCUUCCGCUAAACUUAGGUUUAACAUCCAUUGGCCUGGAGCCGCUUCUGCUUUCGAUUCUAUUGAAUUUGAAAUCUUCGUUUCGUUGCAACCAUGAUCACUGUUGUGGGAGCUAACGCCGCUGCUAUCUUGAUUGAAACUGUUGCAUAGCUAGUAUUGGUCCAGCCAGCUGCCUCGCUAUAAUCCCGCCUCCGGGUUCUUUUAAUCGCGACAUCGAGGAUCUAUAGGGCAAGAAUGGCUUGGAAGAUGGAAUGGAAGUAUGCAAAAGUGGAAGGAAAUGAAGAAUUGAAGUUUUGAGGAUCUGGCGUUCGCGUGUACGCAUGGCUCAUGCGUACGCAUGACACAUGUGUACGCAUGACAUGAAGUGCGUGAAUUUCUUUGAAUUGUAUGUGACAGCGAUUUUCGGACCUUUCUUAGGCCCAAAUCAACUCAACUCUGAAUGGAGAAAGGCCAAGAAUUGAAGAGGGAAUAGAAACACACACAAGCAUACACACAUUUUACUUAAUUUUGAGCUAGUUUUUGUUCCUAGAUUUUUAGAGAGAGAAACUCUCCCUUUUUUCUAGGA